rnacentral:rRNA from 1 species
AGAACAUAUGUGUAAGUAACUGUGCACAUCUUGACGGUACCUAAUCAGAAAGCCACGGCUAACUACGUGCCAGCAGCCGCGGUAAUACGUAGGUGGCAAGCGUUAUCCGGAAUUAUUGGGCGUAAAGCGCGCGUAGGCGGUUUUUUAAGUCUGAUGUGAAAGCCCACGGCUCAACCGUGGAGGGUCAUUGGAAACUGGAAAACUUGAGUGCAGAAGAGGAAAGUGGAAUUCCAUGUGU